CCAACCAUUUAAUUCUUCUCUCUCCACAAAAAAUCGAAAGAGUCUUCAGUUCCAACUCAAACACAACCAAAGCCAUUACCGCCCUUGGCUUGGUAGAGACUGAGAGGUAGUAUCGGAAAUGGACUCGCCGACGUCGAACGGGGGAUCGUCGGCUCGGAUCGUGCCUGCACGAUCGUCUAUGAUUGAGUCUAUCCGUGGCUGCGGUUUGUCGGGGGUACGAAUUGAUAAGGAGAGCUUGAAGAGGAAGCUGCUGAUUCCGCAUUAUCUGCGUCACGCUAUUCGCGAUGCCAUCAGGUCCAGGGACCCUACCAGCGAAGCCGAGCGUUACUUCAAUACCAGUAAAGUUGACAACCGUGAGGAGGCUCCUGAGGGUCCUAUGGCGGGUUUUGUCAAUUCUAGGAGGGGGGGG
rnacentral:misc_RNA from 1 species